rnacentral:rRNA from 1 species
AUUGAACGCUGGCGGCAGGCCUAACACAUGCAAGUCGAGCGGAUGAAGGGAGCUUGCUCCUGGAUUCAGCGGCGGACGGGUGAGUAAUGCCUAGGAAUCUGCCUGGUAGUGGGGGAUAACGUCCGGAAACGGGCGCUAAUACCGCAUACGUCCUGAGGGAGAAAGUGGGGGAUCUUCGGACCUCACGCUAUCAGAUGAGCCUAGGUCGGAUUAGCUAGUUGGUGGGGUAAAGGCCUACCAAGGCGACGAUCCGUAACUGGUCUGAGAGGAUGAUCAGUCACACUGAACCUGGGACACGGUCCAGCUUCCUAGGGGGGCAGCAGUGGGGAAUAUUGGACAAUGGGCGAAAGCCUGAUCCAGCCAUGCCGCGUGUGUGAAGAAGGUCUUCGGAUUGUAAAGCACUUUAAGUUGGGAGGAAGGGCAGUAAGUUAAUACCUUGCUGUUUUGACGUUACCAACAGAAUAAGCACCGGCUAACUUCGUG